UAUAUAUAAUAAUUGUAGUAAUUAUGAAUUCAAUCAGACGAAAUUCAAUCGAAUUCCAAUUCCCUUCAUUUGAAUAAAAUAUUAUUAUAAAUAGUACAUUUUGUAAUAAUGUAUUAGAAUCCAAAUCAAAUCCUAACAUGGCCUCUUCUAAGUGCAGUAGCAAUGUGAAUGCAAUUGGCAAAGCAAUAAUUGUGAAUGUAUAGCAAUUGGCAAUUAUGUGCGUAGGAAAUGUGAUACGUGGCAAAGCAAUUAUAUAGCAAUCAUAUAGCUUUAGCGUAAGCAAUUACGUAAGGGGAUAAGAUACAAUUGUGUAGUAAGUGAGAUUUCAUUUCCUAUAAAUAGGCUCCCAUUAAGACAUGCAGCAACGGGAAAAAUUGAAGAGAACGUAUGAUAAUAAAAAUCUGAUAAGUGUGUAUUUCUAGAUGGAUCAACUUGAGAUUCCAGAUCAUUUUGCUGUUGUUGUUAUUGCUGUCCUACUUGGAAGGAAAUCGGAAUAUGGAGGCUAUUUGAUGGAUUUGUUAUAACUUUACUUGUCAAUCAUAUUAUUUUAAUUGAAAUUUUCUUUCCAUUAUGAAUAUAAAUAUUGUAUUGAAAGGGUAAGGAAGAGGAAUAAUGUGUAAAUUAAUACGUUAUUCUAAAUAUUUUAGAACGAUAUGUCAUGUAUUAAAUUCACAAAAUAAUCUUUUCUUUA